CGGCCCCCCUCCCACCAAAUCGCGGCCCGGGUCCGACAGGUCACCUGAGGCGUGGAGGGGGAGGGGCAGGAAUGAUGCCGGAGCCGCCUCCUUUCUCCUCCGCCGCCCGCCGCUGCCGCGGCCAGGCCAGGCGUCCUCGGCCGUCGCCCCUUCCUCACGGUCUCGCGGUCGCGCUGCCUGGCCCUCGCCCCGACUGCACAGACACCGACUCCCACACGCCGCUAGGCCUCAGCCCCUCACUCGCGUGCCGCUCGCUCUCGCGGGCGCGCGACCCCGCUCACACACAACGCGUGAGACGCCAGCGGCCGCAGGGACUGUGCGGGGAGGGGCGGGGCCUGCAGGGCGCGCGGGCUUUCGCGCACCUGCGCGGAGACCGGUCCUCCGCCUCAGGAGUGAGAGCCGCGCUUCCCCUCCGCUCUUAAGCCGUUCUCUCUGAGGAGCGGGCGUCGGUGAUGGUCUGGGCCUAGCUGAAAACGCCGAGAUGAGUGAGAUGGGUCCGUGUUAGGCGCACCCCUCGUCUCGCCUUCCCUCUCGGACUUUGAACCAAGGCCCGAGCACCAGAGCUCCCCGCGUACAGGGGUCCCUGCCUUUCUUCCGGCCACAGUCCGGGUUGCCCUUCCCGGGUCUGUCCCCUCACCAGAAGGCAGGGAUCUGGGGACAAAGAUCGUGGAUAUCUGAAAGGCUUCCCGCGUAUGCAGUAAAGACAAUGCCUCCAUGUGUGGAGAAGCAGUUUUGAGCUCUUUGGAGAAUCUUGGGGUUGAGCAGGUUGAAAAAUAACAGACCAAAGGGCAGGGUGGAUGGAACUAGCUCUGCCCCUUAGAAAGCAGUGCAGUCCCUGGGCAAGUUACUUAACUUCCUCUUCGCCUUUGUUACGAAGAGAUAAAAGUGUAACCCAGGGCUGCUAUGGAAAUGAAACAAGAGGGUACACUAAAGAAUCGCGAUGAAUUUUUAAACUAUAUGAAAAUGAAAUCCCAGUCCAAAAGAGGUUUAGAAAAUGACCAUAUUCGACUACUUUUUUCUAGGUGGCUUCAAGUGCGGCAGAAAAACAACACAGGACACAAGCCUGCCCUGAUCUGCAACCAUGACUGGGAAUUGGACCCAUCUAUAACCAAGAGCACCACUGGAAGUUCAUCUGUCCUGUCUGCCAGAGAGCAGCGAUGUGUUGUACCAGCAGCUCUCUGCUGCCUGCACUCUUCCUUAAUCUACCUCAGCCGAGAGGUUCACGAUGUAGACACAAGCAGCUGGCAGGUGACUUGGAAAGCACACGCGUCUGCUAAACACUCCUCAGACCUGAGCUUCAAAUUUAAGUUCAUUUCCUGCAAACCAGCUCUGAUGACCUGACCACUCUUCAGAAAGCGGAUCAAGUACAAAGACUUGGAAAUUCCAGGAUCAGAGAAUGUUACUUAUACACGACAUGAGGAAAAUACUGAUAGACAGGGAGGCAAGCAGAAUAAACUGGUCUCCCGGUUGUCUUUGGGCUUAUAAAAUUUUGACUUUCAGAUUCCAAACUCUAAGAUGCAUAGCAAAAACAGCCUGACCAUAGUCGUAGCCUAAAUAAAGCCAAAGACAAAGUAAAGCUGGCAUGUCUUGGAGGGGCUCCACAUUUGAGAGUUCUGACUGCCUCAACUUAAGACAGAUAGCCUUUCUCUAGGAUGAACCACUCCUAGUGUCUGUUUGCUUAGAUGUAAGAAUAAACAGAGUAUCUCUGAGAGUAAACGCUAGAGUCUGAAUGUGUGAGUCAGAGAAGAGGCAGGGAUAUAUCUCAGUGGGGAAAUGUUUGCCUAACAUUUGUGAGACACUAGCACAAGGAAGAAAAAAAAAAUGAAGAAAAGAAAUAAAAGAACAUGAAUUUUUUGUUUUAAAAGAGAAGGACAGAACCAGAUGUGGUGGCACAUGCCUAUAAUGCUAGCUCUGAGGAGGCUGAGACAGGAGGAUCACUGAGUGCCUAGGCUAUAUAGUGAAAGAUGGGCAGCCUGAACUACAUAGUGAGAUUCUGUCUCAGAAUAAAAAUUCAUUACUGUGUUCUGAUCAGUUUUAUACCAUUUGUUUUGUAUGAAUUCAUUGUGUGUGAAGAUACAACUAUUUAGAAGAAAACAAAAUACAUUAUGGUAGCCACUGUA